rnacentral:rRNA from 1 species
UACGGAGGGGGCUAGCGUUGCUCGGAAUUACUGGGCGUAAAGGGCGCGUAGGCGGCCCUGUUAGUCAGGCGUGAAAGUCCUGGGCUCAACCUGGGAACUGCGCUUGAUACGGCAGAGCUAGAGGAUGGAAGAGGGUCGCGGAAUUCCCAGUGUAGAGGUGAAAUUCGUAGAUAUUGGGAAGAACACCGGUGGCGAAGGCGGCGACCUGGUCCUUGACUGACGCUGAGGCGCGAAAGCGUGGGUAGCAAACAGG